GACGAACGCUGUCGGCGUGCUUAACACAUGCAAGUCGAACGGAAAGGCCCUGCUUUUGUGGGGUGCUCGAGUGGCGAACGGGUGAGUAACACGUGAGUAACCUGCCCUUGACUUUGGUAUAACUUCAGGAAACUGGGGCUAAUACCGGAUAUGAGCUCCUGCUGCAUGGUGGGGGUUGGAAAGUUUCGGCGGUUGGGGAUGGACUCGCGGCUUAUCAGCUUGUUGGUGGGGUAGUGGCUUACCAAGGCUUUGACGGGUAGCCGGCCUGAGAGGGUGACCGGCCACAUUGGGACUGAGAUACGGCCCAGACUCCUACGGGAGGCAGCAGUGGGGAAUAUUGCACAAUGGGCGGAAGCCUGAUGCAGCAACGCCGCGUGCGGGAUGACGGCCUUCGGGUUGUAAACCGCUUUCGCCUGUGACGAAGCGUGAGUGACGGUAAUGGGUAAAGAAGCACCGGCUAACUACGUG
rnacentral:rRNA from 1 species